AACGAACGCUGGCGGCAUGCCUAACACAUGCAAGUCGAACGAUUGCCUUCGGGUGAUAGUGGCGCACGGGUGCGUAACGCGGGGGAAGCUGCCCUUAGGUUCGGAAUAACAGCUGGAAACGGCUGCUAAUACCGGAUGAUAUCGCGAGAUCAAAGAUUUAUCGCCUGAGGAUGAGCCCGCGUUGGAUUAGGUAGUUGGUGGGGUAAAGGCCUACCAAGCCGACGAUCCAUAGCUGGUCUGAGAGGAUGAUCAGCCACACUGGGACUGAGACACGGCCCAGACUCCUACGGGAGGCAGCAGUGCGGAAUAUUGGACUAUCGGCGCAAGCCUGAUCCAGCCAUGCCGCGUGAGUGAUGCAGUCCCUAGGGUUGUAAAGCUCUUUUACCCGGGAAGAUAAUGACUGUACCGGGAGAAUAAGCCCCGGCUAACUCCGUG
rnacentral:rRNA from 1 species